rnacentral:rRNA from 1 species
UUUUUGGCUCAGAUUGAACGCUGGCUGGYAGGMCUAACACAUGCAAGUCGAGCGGUAACAGAAGAAAGCUUGCUUUCUUGCUGACGAGCGGCGGACGGGUGAGUAAUGCCUGGGAAAUUGCCCUGAUGUGGGGGAUAACCAUUGGAAACGAUGGCUAAUACCGCAUAAUAGCUUCGGCUCAAAGAGGGGGACCUUCGGGCCUCUCGCGUCAGGAUAUGCCCAGGUGGGAUUAGCUAGUUGGUGAGGUAAGGGCUCACCAAGGCGACGAUCCCUAGCUGGUCUGAGAGGAUGAUCAGCCACACUGGAACUGAGACACGGUCCAGACUCCUACGGGAGGCAGCAGUGGGGAAUAUUGCACAAUGGGCGCAAGCCUGAUGCAGCCAUGCCGCGUGUAUGAAGAAGGCCUUCGGGUUGUAAAGUACUUUCAGCAGUGAGGAAGGCAGUGAGUUUAAUAGACUUAUUGUUUGACGUUAACUGCAGAAGAAGCACCGGCUAACUCCGUGCCAGCAGCCGCGGUAAUACGGAGGGUGCGAGCGUUAAUCGGAAUUACUGGGCGUAAAGCGCAUGCAGGUGGUCUGUUAAGUCAGAUGUGAAAGCCCAAGGCUUAACCUKGGAAUCGCAUUUGAAACUGGCAGGCUAGAGUACUGUAGAGGGGGGUAGAAUUUCAGGUGUAGCGGUGAAAUGCGUAGAGAUCUGAAGGAAUACCAGUGGCGAAGGCGGCCCCCUGGACAGAUACUGACACUCAGAUGCGAAAGCGUGGGGGAGCAAACAGGAUUAGAUACCCUGGUAGUCCACGCCGUAAACGAUGUCUACUUGGAGGUUGUGGCCUUGAGCCGUGGCUUUCGGAGCUAACGCGUUAAGUAGACCGCCUGGGGAGUACGGUCGCAAGAUUAAAACUCAAAUGAAUUGACGGGGGCCCGCACAAGCGGUGGAGCAUGUGGUUUAAUUCGAUGCAACGCGAAGAACCUUACCUACUCUUGACAUCCAUAGAACUUAGCAGAGAUGCUUUGGUGCCUUCGGGAGC